rnacentral:tRNA from 1 species
GGCCAGGUAGCCAAGUGGCAAGGCAGCGGUCUGCAAAAUCGCUAUUCACCGGUUCAAAUCCGGUCCUGGCCUC